AGUGAACGCUGUCGGUAGGCCUAACACAUGCAAGUCGAACGGCAGCACAGGAGAGCUUGCUCUCUGGGUGGCGAGUGGCGGACGGGUGAGGAAUACAUCGGAAUCUACUUUUUCGUGGGGGCUAACGUAGGGAAACUGACGCUAAUACCGCAUACGACCUACGGGUGAAAGCAGUGGAUCCUCGGACCUUGCUCGAUUGAAUGAGCCGGUGUCGGAUUAGCUAGUUGGCGGGGUAAAGGCCCACCAAGGCGACGAUCCGUAGCUGGUCUGCGAGGAUGGUCAGCCACACUGAAACUGAGACACGGGCCAGACUCCUACGGGAGGCAGCAGUGGGGAAUAUUGGACAAUGGGCGCAAGCCUGAUCCAGCCAUACCGCGUGGGUGAAGAAGGCCUUCGGGUUGUAAGCCCUUUUGUGGGAAAGAAAUCCAGCUGGUUAAUACCCGGUUGGGAUGACGGUACCCAAAGAAUAAGCACCGGCUAACUUCGUGCCAGCCGCCGCCGUAA
rnacentral:rRNA from 1 species